UCCAACUUAUAAUAACAAGCACAAAAGAUCGCAUUGUACAACAAAGUAUUUUUUUUUCAAAUACCUCAAACCUUGUAAUUUACUCUAUACAAAUAUAACUAUCUUUUUCUACACAUGAUGCAUUACGCACUGCAAACUAUUCAAGCUAUUCUUGCCUCAAUAAUGACAAACCCAGUGCUAAGCUUCCACACCAGGACCUCUCGAGACAAAUGGGGAGUAUUUCACCCACUCGAAUACAUUCAUAAAAAAAGUAUCAAUUUGCUCGCUCAAAAAAAACUAAAUUUGUUCGCAAAAGGCAUCCCUAAACACUUGGAUACAUGCAGUGCGGAAACAAUCCCCUCGCCCAGCAUCUCGGACAAACUCCCAUCAAGAUGAACACAUACCUGCACAGUUCCUGAUUUGUUACUCCAUGAAACAUACAAUUAUUUUCUUUCUAGAAUACACUUAAUAUUUAAAAAAAUAGGUAAACAUGUUUUAGCAAAUUCUCCCAUCCAUUUUAACAGCUUCUUUGAUGUUCCUUUCUUGCUCUGCAAUAAAUGAAGUACAGGUCCCGACGCCGCUUAAUCAUGCAGAGCUCAUAAUUUAGAAACUUUCCAGCCCAUUCGGUAACACCAUACAUGAUUAUCUCACAUUGCACAGCCUACAGAUGAUGAAACACGUUAAAGAUCGUCAGCUACAAUGGUUAAAGAUUGUACGCACAUAUAUAAAUUGAUAAUUAGGUUUUGAUAAAAAUCAAAACAGAGUACCAUAUCCUGUUGAGACCGUGAUGGCACAUACUGAAGUUCAUAGAUAUCUAAAAUUGCUAGGUUAUGAAUUAUCCUUUUGGAACGUUGCACACGUGCAAGUGCACAGUCAAACUAUGGGCCAGUUCUUUUGGGCGAUUCUACCAGAAUCGCCCCCCUCCGUAGCUUCUCCCAGAAUUAUCACUCCUUAUGUUUUUCACAAUCCUAGCUAAUUAGACCUUAACUAGAUAGGAUUGUAAAAAAAUAUGAAGUGGCGAUUCUUGAAGAAGCUGGGGAGGGGGGCGAUUCUGGGAGAAUCGCCGAAAAGAACUGGCCUAUAUGCAUCAACAUAUGACUCAAUUAUUCAUGACAUAUAGGACUGCCACGAGGAUCAAAUAGAUAACAAUUAUGAGCAAAUGGUGUUGUGUGACAUCUCCCAACUCGAUUAAUCAAAUUUUUUUGUUACUGAAUUAUCCAUAUGUGAAAAUUUCAAUGUAGAACUAAGUUAUUUUUGUAUAGAGAACUUCUUCCUUGGUUCGCAAAGAGGUUCAGCAGCCAUCCUAAAUGAGCAAUGAAACAUACCUUGAAUUACUUGAGCAAAGAAGAUGUGGAUUAGUGGUAAAGCUUCGCAAGCUGUUGCACUCGCCCAAACAAAUCAGAAACCAAAUCAGUUCUAAUUAAUCCGCUAAAAAAUAUAAGAAAAUAAAAUUCAAGAUUUACCAUCAAAUAGCUUGAAAUGUGAACAUGUGUGAAUCAAGAGAGGCCCAUUGUUUAAUCCAUUGCAAAUAUAUCGAGAACCUGCAAAGGUGGGA
rnacentral:lncRNA from 1 species